rnacentral:miRNA from 13 species
UAUUAGGUUGGUGCAAAAGUAAUUGUGAUUUUUGCCAUUGAAAGUAAUUAUCAAAACGGCAAUUACUUUUGC